UUUAACUGAAGAGUUUGAUCAUGGCUCAGAUUGAACGCUGGCGGCAGGCUUAACACAUGCAAGUCGAGCGGGGGAAGGUAGC
rnacentral:rRNA from 1 species